rnacentral:rRNA from 1 species
GACGCUGCGUGGAGGAUGAAGGCCUUCGGGUUGUAAACUCCUGUCAUGUGGGAACAAGGCCUGCGUACUGAAUAGGUGCGCGGGUUCGAUAGUACCGCAAGAGGAAGUCACGGCUAACUCUGUGCCAGCCCCCGCGGUGACUGAGCGGGCUGGCAAGGCGCAUA